GGAGAGAACACUGGACUUGGAGUCAGAAA
ensembl:miRNA